UGAGGAAUAUUGGUCAAUGGGCGAGAGCCUGAACCAGCCAAGUCGCGUGAGGGAAGAAUGGUCUAUGGCCUGUAAACCUCUUUUGUCAGGGAAGAAUAAGGAUGACGAGUCAUUCGAUGCCAGUACUUGACGAAUAAGCAUCGGCUAACUCCGUGCCAGCAGCCGCGGUAAUACGGGGGAUGCGAGCGUUAUCCGGAUUUAUUGGGUUUAAAGGGCGCGUAGGCGGGACGUCAAGUCAGCGGUAAAAGACUGCAGCUAAACUGUAGCACGCCGUUGAAACUGGCGCCCUGGAGACGAGACGAGGGAGGCGGAACAAGUGAAGUAGCGGUGAAAUGCAUAGAUAUCACUUGGAACCCCGAUAGCGAAGGCAGCUUCCCAGGCUCGUUCUGACGCUGAUGCGCGAGAGCGUGGGUAGCGAACA
rnacentral:rRNA from 1 species